rnacentral:rRNA from 1 species
AUUGAACGCUGGCGGCAGGCCUAACACAUGCAAGUCGAACGAGUGGCGGACGGGUGAGUAAUGUCUGGGAAUCUGCCUGAUGGAUGGGGAUAACUACUGGAAACUGUAGCUAAUACCGCAUACCAUCGGAUGUGCCCAGAUGGGAUUAGCUAGUAGGUGGGGUAAAGGUUCACCUAGACGACGAUCCCUAGCUGGGCUGAGAGGAUGACCAGCCACACUGGAACUGAGAAACGGUCCAGACUCCUACGUGAGGCAGCAGUGGGGAAUAUUGCACAAUGGGGGCAAGCCUGAGGCAGCCAGGCCGCGUGGAUGAAGAAGGCCUUCGGGUUGUAAAGUACUUUCAGCGGGGAGGCGUUACCCGCAGAAGAAGCACCGGCUAACGCCGUGCCAGCCGCCGCGGUAAUAC